rnacentral:rRNA from 1 species
GACGAACGCUGGCGGCGUGCUUAACACAUGCAAGUCGAACGAUGAAGAAGAGCUUGCUCUUCGGAUUAGUGGCGAACGGGUGAGUAACACGUGACUAACCUGCCCCUUUCUCUGGGAUAACGCUCCGAAAGGAGUGCUAAUACCGGAUACUCACAUCGAGGCACAUGCCUUGAUGUGGAAAGUUUUUCGGAAAGGGAUGGAGUCGCGGCCUAUCAGCUUGUUGGUGAGGUAACGGCUCACCAAGGGGACGACGGGUAGCCGGCCUGAGAGGGCGACCGGCCACACUGGGACUGAGACACGGCCCAGACUCCUACGGGAGGCAGCAGUGGGGAAUAUUGCACAAUGGGCGAAAGCCUGAUGCAGCGACGCCGCGUGAGGGAUGAAGGUCUUCGGAUUGUAAACCUCUUUCAGUAGGGACGAAGCGAAAGUGACGGUACCUAAAGAAGAAGCACCGGCCAACUACGUGCCAGCAGCCGCCGUAA